rnacentral:misc_RNA from 1 species
GAUGAAGAACGUAGCGAAAUGUGAUAAGUAAUGUGAAUUGCAGAAUUCAGUGAAUCAUCGAAUCUUUGAACGCACAUUGCGCCCGCCAGUAUUCUGGCGGGCAUGCCUGUUCGAGCGUCAUUUCAACCCUCAGGCCCCCAGUGCCUGGUGUUGGGGAUCGGCCCAGCCUUCCUGUAAGGCCGCCGGCCCCGAAAUCUAGUGGCGGUCUCGCUGUAGUCCUCCUCUGCGUAGUAGCACAACCUCGCAGUUGGAACGCGGCGGUGGCCAUGCCGUUAAACACCCCACUUCUGAAAGUUGACCUCGGAUCAGGUAGGAAUACCCGCUGAACUUAAGCAUAUCAAUAAGCGGAGGA